AGAACUACCAAAAAGAUUGGGAGUUCUACAACAGCUAAUAAGAACGAUGUAGAUGUAAAGACAUGCAUGGUAGGUUUUUAGGCAGCAGGCUUCUCCCAUUUAAGAGGCUUGACCACCUCCCAGGUGAAGUCGGGGUCGUCCCUUCCAAAGUGUCCGUAAGCUGCAGUCUUGAGGUACCUGCCAUUGCCUCCCCUCUUCAAGUCGAGGUUGAUGGUGAUCAUCCCCGGCCUGAAGUCAAAGUUCUCCUUCACAAUCUUCAGGAUCUCCUUGUCCGGGAUAUUGCCAGUGCCGUAGGUGUCCACGAACACCGACAGAG
rnacentral:lncRNA from 1 species